AUGGCCGUACGUCUGGUUUCACAAAUGCCACAACAAUACACUUUGAGUAGGAAGGGCAUUCUUGAUAUCAUUCAACAAUUUCCCAUUCCGAGCUCUACCCCAGCUCACAGCUCACUCUACCCCAGCUCACAGCUCACUCUACCCCAGCUCACUCUACCCCAAAUCACUCUACCCCAGCUCACAGCUCACUCUACCCCAGCUCACUCUACCCCAGCUCACAGCUCACUCUACCCCAGCUCACAGCUCACUCUACCCCAGCUCACAGCUCACUCUACCCCAGCUCACUCUACCCCAGCUCACUCUACCCCAGCUCACUCUGCACUCUACCCCAGCUCACAGCUCACUCUACCCCAGCUCACAGCUCACUCUACCCCCAGCUCACUCUACCCCAGCUCACUCUACCCCAGCUCACAGCUCACUCUACCCCAGCUCACAGCUCACUCUACCCCAGCAGCUCACAGCUCACUCUACCCCAGCUCACUCUACCCCAGCUCACAGCGUCAACUCUACCCCAGCUCACUCUACCCCAGCUCACAGCUCACUCUACCCCAAAUCACUCUACCCCAGCUCACAGCUCACUCUACCCCAGCUCACUCUACCCCAGCUCACAGCUCACUCUACCCCAGCUCACUCUACCCCAGCUCACAGCUCACUCUACCCCAGCUCACUCUACCCCAGCUCACAGCACUCUACCCCAGCUCACAGCUCACUCUACCCCAGCUCACAGCUCACUCUACCCCAGCUCACAGCUCACUCUACCCCAGCUCACAGCUCAUUCUACCCCAGCUCACUCUACCCCAGCUCACUCUACCCCAGCUCACAGCUCACUCUACCCCAGCAGCUCACUCUACCCCAGCUCACAGCUCACUCUACCCCAGCUCACAGCUCACUCUACCCCAGCUCACUCUACCCCAGCUCACAGCUCACUCUACCCCAGCUCACAGCUCACUCUACCCCAGCUCACAGCUCACUCUACCCCAGCUCACUCUACCCCAGCUCACUCUACCCCAGCUCACUCUACCCAGCAGCUCACAGCUCACUCUACCCCAGCUCACUCUACCCCAGCUCACAGCUCACUCUACCCCAGCUCACUCUACCCCAGCUCACUCUACCCCAGCAGCUCACUCUACCCCAGCUCACAGCUCACUCUACCCCAGCUCACUCUGCACUCUACCCCAGCUCACAGCUCACUCUACCCCAGCUCACUCUACCCCAGCUCACUCUGCACAUGUCUGGCUUCCCCUUCUCUCCCACACAAAAUCAAUUCUGUUGUUCAUGUCCUGGAAAGAGUUAACCUUAGCUCGUUUAC
rnacentral:lncRNA from 1 species